GACGAACGCUGGCGGCGUGCUUAACACAUGCAAGUCGAACGGAGCUAUUUAUUUCGGUAGAUAGCUUAGUGGCAAACGGGUGAGUAACGCGUAGGCAACCUGCCCUCAGGAUGGGGACAACGGCUCGAAAGAGCCGCUAAUACCGAAUGACGUAACUCUUCCACAUGGAAGAGAUACUAAAGAUGGGUCAAACCAUCGCCUAAGGAUGGGCCUGCGUCUGAUUAGCCAGUUGGUGAGGUAACGGCUCACCAAAGCGACGAUCAGUAGCCGGUCUGAGAGGAUGAACGGCCACAAUGGGACUGAGACACGGCCCAUACUCCUACGGGAGGCAGCAGUGGGGAAUCUUCCGCAAUGGGCGAAAGCCUGACGGAGCAACGCCGCGUGAGUGAAGAAGGUCUUCGGAUCGUAAAGCUCUGUUGUCGGGGACGAAAGAGUAGACGAGGAAAUGC
rnacentral:rRNA from 1 species